AGCGAACGCUGGCGGCAGGCUUAACACAUGCAAGUCGAGCGGGCAUAGCAAUAUGUCAGCGGCAGACGGGUGAGUAACGCGUGGGAACGUACCUUUUGGUUCGGAACAACUGAGGGAAACUUCAGCUAAUACCGGAUAAGCCCUUACGGGGGAAGAUUUAUCGCCGAAAGAUCGGCCCGCGUCUGAUUAGCUAGUUGGUGAGGUAAUGGCUCACCAAGGCCACGAUCAGUAGCUGGUCUGAGAGGAUGAUCGGCCACAUUGGGAAUGAGACACGGCCCAAACUCCUACGGGAGGCAGCAGUGGGGAAUAUUGGACGAUGGGCGCAAGCCUGAUCCAGCCAUGCCGCGUGAGUGAUGAAGGCCCUAGGGUUGUAAAGCUCUUUUGUGCGGGAAGAUAAUGACGGUACCGCAAGAAUAAGCCCCGGCUAACUUCGUGCCAGCCGCCGCCGUAA
rnacentral:rRNA from 1 species